rnacentral:rRNA from 1 species
UGAGUAGGCGGUUAUAUGUGUCAGAUGUAAAAGGCUAUGGCUUAACCAUAGUUAGUAUUUGAAACUGUAUGACUUGAGUGCAGGAGAGGUAAGUGGAAUUCCUAGUGUAGCGGUGAAAUGCGUAGAUAUUAGGAGGAACACCAGUGGCGAAGGCGACUUACUGGACUGUAACUGACGCUGAGUCACGAAAGCGUGGGUAGCAAACAG